CCUACGGGAGGCAGCAGUGGGGAAUAUUGCACAAUGGGCGAAAGCCUGAUGCAGCGACGCCGCGUGAGGGAUGACGGCCUUCGGGUUGUAAACCUCUUUCAGUAGGGAAGAAGCGAAAGUGACGGUACCUGCAGAAGAAGCGCCGGCCAACUACGUGCCAGCAGCCGCGGUAAUACGUAGGGCGCAAGCGUUAUCCGGAAUUAUUGGGCGUAAAGAGCUCGUAGGCGGUUUGUCGCGUCUGCCGUGAAAGUCCGGGGCUCGACUCCGGAUCUGCGGUGGGUACGGGCAGACCAGAGUGAUGUAGGGGAGACUGGAAUUCCUGGUGUAGCGGUGAAAUGCGCAGAUAUCAGGAGGAACACCGAUGGCGAAGGCAGGUCUCUGGGCAUUAACUGACGCUGAGGAGCGAAAGCAUGGGGAGCGAACAGGAUUAGAUACCCUGGUAGUCCAUGCCGUAAACGUUGGGCACUAGGUGUGGGGGACAUUCCACGUUUUCCGCGCCGUAGCUAACGCAUUAAGUGCCCCGCCUGGGGAGGACGGCCGCGAGACGUAACUACAAGAAGUAGACGGCGUGAGACGUCGCCGACGGACGACGACGAGGGAGGAGG
rnacentral:rRNA from 1 species